UACGUAGGCAGCGAGCGUUGUUCGGAAUUACUGGGCGUAAAGAGUGUGUAGGCGGCGCUCUAAGUUCGGUGUGAAAUCUCUCGGCUUAACUGGGAGGGUGCGCCGGAAACUGGAGUGCUCGAACGUGGGAGAGGAAAGCGGAAUUCCUGGUGUAGCGGUGAAAUGCGUAGAGAUGUGGAGGAACACCAGUGGCGAAGGCGGCUUUUUGGUCUGUAACUGACGCUGAGGCGCGAAAGCGUGGGGAGCAAACAGG
rnacentral:rRNA from 1 species